rnacentral:tRNA from 1 species
UAGAAUGUAGUGUAACGGUAGCACAGAGAAUUUUGAGUUCUUCAGAUUAGGUUCAAUUCCUAUUUUUCUAG